rnacentral:rRNA from 1 species
UGAGCAAUCUGCCCUUCUCAUCGGAAUAAGCGUUGGAAACGACGUCUAAUGCCGAAUACGACCUCCUUUCGCAUGAUCGGAGGUGGAAAGCUCCGGCGGAGAAGGAUGAGCUCGCGGCCUAUCAGCUAGUUGGUGGGGUAACGGCCUACCAAGGCGACGAUCCGUAGCUGGUCUGAGAGGAUGAUCAGCCACACUGGGACUGAGACACGGCCCAGAUCCUACGGG